UACUAUAGCUUGACACUGAACAUUGAGCCUUGAUGUGUAGGAUAGGUGGGAGGCUUGGAAGUGUGGACGCCAGUCUGCAUGGAGCCGACCUUGAAAUACCACCCUUUAAUGUUUGAUGUUCUAACGUGGACCCGUAAUCCGGGUUGCGGACAGUGUCUGGUGGGUAGUUUGACUGGGGCGGUCUCCUCCUAAAGAGUAACGGAGGAGCACGAAGGUUGGCUAAUCCUGGUCGGACAUCAGGAGGUUAGUGCAAUGGCAUAAGC
rnacentral:rRNA from 1 species